AAGCUUGAAGCAGUGGUCAUGCCCAGGCCAUGGAGGAAGGCAGUGGAGGAAGGAUGAGGUGGCUCCAGGAAACAACACCACAAAGUUAGCAGUGUGAAGUGGAUGAUGAUGUGGUGUCAUUCCCAGAAAGUCUUCUGCUGUUGGUAUCUCGUGAUGCAUCUUGACAGUGUGAUGGCAUCCCACAGCUCUCUGUGCAUCUACAGGAAGAGCUGUGUUGCUGUUUAUGCUUCACUGUUGGAUGACUCUCUAAGAACUGAAGAGGAGCAAUCAGGCUUAAAGCUCAACCCUUUGGAUGCUAUUGGCUGCCCAUCAGCACUGCAAAUUUUGGGUACUCUAGGUACCCAAACAGAAAGGUCACACAUGAGGAGUUUUUUCAAACAGCAAGUUAAGGCGAUGGAAUGAAACCAGUGACAUCUGCCACUCACGCUCUCUCCCUCCAUCCUGUUUACCCAUAGCCUCCCCCCUUUCCCUUUUCUUUUUCUAAUGCUCAUGGUUUUCAUCCCAUUCAAUAGCUCCCCCCAGUUCCACUCGCGACCCCCCAGUUUCACCAGUAAUUACUCUGGGGAAUGCAUUUGAAUCUGAAUCCCCUUCAUUCUUUGGUCCUUUUUUGCCUGUUGAUUUGUGGAUGUCUUAAUGUUCCCAUUUGAGCUGAGAUGUCUCCCUUCAUAAACUUCAGUCAUGUCCGUUUUUAUUUAGUCUCUGAGGAAAUCAAAGAUCAUGUCAUGACAAUGAUGUGUCCAGCACUUAACAUGAUCCCAUGCUGAUUGUCACAGGCUUCUAGGAAUUGUCGUACUCUGUGUUUCUCUUUUCCCUAUUGUGGUUGACCAUCUCCAUAACAAUCUAAAUAAAUGAAAUCUAAUUAAAAAGAAAAAGGACA
rnacentral:lncRNA from 1 species